AAUACAAUUUUCAUUGACCAUUUCUGCAUCAAUAAUAGUAAUAUGAAUCUAUAUUAAAUCUAAAAUACAGAUAUCCUUUAUAAAUACCUUACUGAGAGAAAGAACCUCUAUCCAACCAUGUACAAGGUUCCACUUUAGGUCUAGAUAAAUAUUAAGCCUGGAACAAGUUUCAACGCGGACGAUUGCAUUGAAGAUUAUUACGUAGAAUAGGUAUAGGACCCUUUACAUGCAUCAGGGAGUGUCUUUUAUGAAAAAAGUGUAAAUCCAUCAAGUCUGAAAAGUAUUUCACAGAAUGUGAUUAUUUAUGACAAACCAUCUACGUAAAAUCCACUUAGAAAGAGAGGAAAUUGGUGGCACCUGGAUAAAAAUUCAAUGUACGAGCUGAAUGCAGUCCAUUGGUUGGAAAAGAAGUUCAAUUGAUAGACCAUUCGAGAAGCUUCAUGAUGAUCGGGAGUAGAAUUCGGUACACAUGCACCAGCAAUGCUGCUCUCCUUAUCGUACGUCAUUGUCAGCAAA